UUCCGAACUCAGAAGUGAAACGAAAUAGCGCCGAUGGUAGUGUGGGGUUUCCCCAUGUGAGAGUAGGACAUCGCCAGGU
rnacentral:rRNA from 1 species